rnacentral:rRNA from 1 species
GGGUUAAGCGGCAGUAGGAUGGGACGGGGUGGGAGAGGGAGCGGAGCGGUCUUGCCUUGCCUCCCCGUUUCAAAUCUUUAGCGGGGGGCGUUUAAGGGGUUAAGAUGGCUGGUUGCGGGGAGCUCGGCAGGGAGGUUUAGUAUCGUGGGCCGGCCUAGAUAGGCUGUCGGCCUCGAGAGGAGCGAGACGUGUUGGUAAAAACCAAGCUAGGGCCUCUUCGAGGCCCCGAGGAACUUCGCUACCUAGUCGCCCGCUCCGUGGGAGGGCCGUAGCCGUUGCCGGCGCCGCCCUUAGGAUUGAUGGUGCCGGCACCGGGCGGCGGCUGCGUCGUCGUAGUGGUCGUCGGCAGCGGCGGAAGCGGCGUCGUCCGCGUCCCCGUGGGCGUCGUCAUGUACGUCGCCGUCAGCGUCGUGAGCGUCGUGAGCGUCGUGGUGUCGGUCGUCGAAGUCGUAGUCGUCACCGAAGCCGCCUUAGUCUGGCGACCGCUCCGGCGGAGCCCGCGGCGGUCUCGGUCGCUCGUGGUGCGCGGCCGACGGCGGCUACUGCGGCUAAACUCAAGCGUUCUGACCUUCCGGGUUAACUUCGAAGGUGGAGGUCUAUGUGCGAUGGUCUGGCUCCUACAGUGACGUUGAUUCCCUUUGCUUAAACUUCUGAUAAAAGACUUCGCACUUGAAGAAUACCCGUAUAUACUCUUUCCUAAACUUUCUGGCAGAGGAUAGGUUCUUCUUUCGUAAGGAUAACGUAAUUGGCCGUCGCUGUAAGAACGUUCUCGUUUUUUACCUUGGCCGUUCUGACGACGUAAAACAUAUGGACGCGAUCUCUUCUAACUAGUUCUGUUUUUACGAUAAGUUCAACAAUAUAACCAGGGGUGCUCCCUUAACCGAAAUGUUUGUAGUGUUCAGACGUUCCUUGAACCCUUUGUGAACUUCUAAGUUCAGUACCAGUGAUGACCUCCUUGUUCGGAUUUCCUACUAUAACAGGCAGAAAUAGUUGGACACGUAAAUGAACACCCCUGCGGACCAGCACAAAACCUGGAAUGCUUCUUUCCGUAAACGUAAGACUUCCUGACAAGUUACGAAUAAUACCUACUCCGUCUGUUCGAAGAAAGAGGACUCAAGGUUGGAAGGCACCUCGUCAAUUAAGCUAUGGAAGGUAGCUCAGCUGUCUAAGACUACAAGAGACGUUGUAAGGGACACUGACAGUUCCGAAAGUUCCUGUUUAUAGACGGAUUUGGGAUACAAUAAUUAGAAUACCUGCUUGAAUGUGACUUCCCUUAAUGGGUCAAGAUGCGGAAACAACUUCUUUCCGUCUUUCAGGUAACAGACUUGUGAGAAAAAAGGUUCGACGUUUAAUUAGUUAGAUAUUAUAAGACAUUGAGGCAUUUAGCACAACUUGAUGACCGCUUCUUCUAGUGUCUCGAACCAAUGAGAACGAAGAUGUAGGUACGAUUUUACGACGUCCUAGUAGCAUUAUCUCAUAAGGUACUAAAGGCAUUACCGCGUACGUCCUUGGAACACACAUGUCUAGAAAAAUGUUCCCCUUAUCUAUAGGUUCGACAAUUACAACAAUAGUUAAAACUAAAGGGGUUCUGGCGACUUUGGAUAGAGGUGUCCCAACCAUCUAGACCCUCUAAACCGGUGGAACCGGACCGACACUUAGACUAGUGGAUGCUCCUAGCAAAAUUGAACAUAGCCUAACUCGUCCUCGAACCUUGACUCUAUUUUGGGUAUGGAGGAGUCUAUCUGGCCUGCUAUAUGACGGUUAUCAAUAGACCUUCUAAUUAGAAUAUACGGGGUGGGACCUUCAAUAUUCUGUUGAAUACAUUUAUCGUCGAGUAGUCCAAAGUAAAUGCACUAGAAAUACCACAUAGAAUUCAACAAAACCCCACGAUACCCUGUCCACUUUCACAUCGAUCGAGCAGAUUAAAGGUAGCCUGGUGCACCCGCCUACAUAGUACCGAUUCGAUUUUGAACGGUAGUGACUGUUAUCAAUUACAACGAUUGGUCCACGGACAAGGCUCUGACAAAAGGGAUUUUGACUUUCUAGAGAAAAAGAAAACUGUUUACAUAACCGACCGAUCGAAAAACAUGUCCCGUAAAAAUGUGACCAUAAAGAAACUCAACGCACUGGAACCGUACGCGUCUACCUAGUAAGGUGGACCCGGUUCGACAGUGCUGCAUAGACACAGUUCUAGAUCCCCAUACUUGGCAUGUUAAGAUCACGAAAACAUAAACGCAUACGUAAGACUACACGGUGUAAACAUUAAGGAUCUAAGCUUAACCACAUGUUUCUCACAAACAAGCGAAGUUCUAAAGACAAAGUAAGCGAGAGAUGUACUCUUACACGGUAGGCUACAAGAACAAGACCGGCGAACGAAAGUUCGCCUCCGCCUACAUGACCGUUAAGUUCAACUUGGAAAUAUAAGACACCUUAUAUAUAUAAACGGCUACGAAGAGGUUACUAGUAUAAAGUCGUUGAGAAAAACCCGUUCGCAUGGUCUUGAGUAACGAUGAUACAGAACGACCUACGUAAACACUAGAUAGCUUCAUACUGUUCACCGAACAGGUCAGGAACGCCGGGGUUACGGUGUGACCUUUACCCUCUACCGACCAACUAAUACACGACUCGUGUCCUACUUCAAGACAGACGGUAGGUUUCUUUGUUUAAGACCUACAACCUACUAAAAGGAACCAAGACCGCUUUAAACAUAUUAGAGACGGGGACGGAGGCACUUUGGGACGAUUUUCCUCUGCCCGUAUAUCAUAAGUUAAGUACGAAGUUGGUUAAUCAGGUCUCAAAGCUAAAUUGCCUUUUCCCAACCGUUAUAUAAAUUGUAUAUGAAGGACACAAGUGUUUAUGAGGGAGGCAUUUCUUUAUAUUCUC